rnacentral:rRNA from 1 species
CCUACGGGUGGCAGCAGUGAGGAAUAUUGGUCAAUGGGCGGAAGCCUGAACCAGCCAAGUAGCGUGCAGGAUGACGGCCCUACGGGUUGUAAACUGCUUUUAUACGGGAAUAACGCGCCUUACGUGUAGGGCUUUUCAUGUACCGUAUGAAUAAGGACCGGCUAAUUCCGUGCCAGCAGCCGCGGUAAUCCGGAAGGUCCGGGCGUUAUCCGGAUUUAUUGGGUUUAAAGGGAGCGUAGGCCGCAUGUCAAGCGUGCUGUGAAAUGUCCGGGCUCAACCCGGGCCUUGCAGCGCGAACUGGCGUGCUUGAGUCCGCGGAAGGCAGGCGGAAUUCGUCGUGUAGCGGUGAAAUGCUUAGAUAUGACGAAGAACCCCGAUUGCGAAGGCAGCUUGCCGGGGUGCGACUGACGCUGAGGCUCGAAGGUGCGGGUAGCAAACAGGAGUAGAUACCCGAGUAGUC